ACUCCUGCGGGAGGCAGCAGUGGGGAAUUUUGGACAAUGGGCGAAAGCCUGAUCCAGCAAUGCCGCGUGUGUGAAGAAGGCCUUCGGGUUGUAAAGCACUUUUGUCCGGAAAGAAAUCCUUGGCUCUAAUACAGUCGGGGGAUGACGGUACCGGAAGAAUAAGCACCGGCUAACUACGUGCCAGCAGCCGCGGUAAUACGUAGGGUGCGAGCGUUAAUCGGAAUUACUGGGCGUAAAGCGUGCGCAGGCGGUUUGCUAAGACCGAUGUGAAAUCCCCGGGCUCAACCUGGGAACUGCAUUGGUGACUGGCAGGCUAGAGUAUGGCAGAGGGGGGUAGAAUUCCACGUGUAGCAGUGAAAUGCGUAGAGAUGUGGAGGAAUACCGAUGGCGAAGGCAGCCCCCUGGGCCAAUACUGACGCUCAUGCACGAAAGCGUGGGGAGCAAACAGGAUUAGAAACCCUGGUAGUCCCA
rnacentral:rRNA from 1 species